UACGGAGGGUGCAAGCGUUGUCCGGAUUUAUUGGGUUUAAAGGGUGCGUAGGCGGCCCGUUAAGUCAGUGGUGAAAUCCCAGGGCUCAACCCUGGAACUGCCAUUGAUACUGACGGGCUUGAGUUCGGUUAAGGCGGGCGGGAACUGGUGGUGUAGCGGUGAAAUGCAUAGAUACCACCAAGAACCCCGAUUGCGUAGGCAGCUCGCUGAGCCGAAACUGACGCUGAGGCACGAAAGCGUGGGGAGCGAACAGGG
rnacentral:rRNA from 1 species